UGUGGGGAUAUGGUCAUUAAUCUCUUCAUUGUCUUCCUCCUUAAUAUCAUGGCUAAUUUGAGGAGGAGUGGAAGGAGCCAAGGGUUUUUUCUUUCUUCUAGGGAUUCUUAGUGCUAACUCCAAGGGCCACCAAUAUAUUCUUUCGGGGGUUGAUGUUCUUGUCAUAGGGCCGGCUGCCAUACAUAUGAGCAGCGCUGUUCACCAGCCAGGUGGCAUUCAGUACGACAGCAUACCGUAGGAGGGUGGCAACAAACAGGCUGUGAGUAAAACUUUCUCCCCAGAAGUACCAGGGGACGAAUGUGGGGAAUAUGAAGCGCAUGAGGAGGAUGCCAGGCUUGUAGUAUCUCCUCUGGAACAUCACCAGCUUCUCAGAUUUCAGAUCGGACAGGUCAAGCAAACGGCCCUUCUCAAUGACAUCUGGGUGUUUGCGCACUAGCAGCCAGCCCACAUGGGAGAAGAAAAACCCACGGCGGGCAUUAUGGGGAUCAGCAUCUGUCUCAGAGAACUUAUGAUGGACACGGUGGUCCCUGGCCCACUUGAAAAUGUCAUUCUGGAAGGCCAUGGUGUUAGCGAUCGUCAGAAUGAUCCGGAGGGGCAGGCGUGCCUUGUAGGUUCUGUGACUUCAGAGGCGGUGGGCUCCAGCAGUGAUGCCCAGGGCGCUGACCAGGUAGUACCCAAAUGCCCAGAGCAAGGUAUACACAUGAGAGGAAGGCAGCAGGAAGAUCCCAUACACGGCUGCCAAGUGAAGCAGGCCCAUCAGGAUGAUGUUCCUCCAGACAUAGAUGAACUUGGGUUUGGGACCAUCCUUCUCCUGAUAAGGGGGUCAAACAUGUCGUCCCGCAUCUCAUAGCUGAUCCCCUCUUCAUCCUUCUCAAGGGGUGCUUUUGACGCUCCUUUGGUUGCUCCGUUCUGCAGAGCCCUGGAGGAAGGGGCUGUGAUGGUGGUCGUGGUGGUCAUAGUGUAGGAGGGAGAGAUCUCCUCCUGUAGCAAAUGGGCCGGCAUCGGGAUUCUACGGGAGCAGGUCUCGCUCUUCUUGGACUGGAGCUGCCGAAGGAGAGGAGGCACUUGGACUCAGGAUUGGGCUUAUG
rnacentral:lncRNA from 1 species